rnacentral:lncRNA from 1 species
UAAGUGUGUAUUCUAUGCUUAGGUAGGAGAGGGAUAUGCUCAGGUAGUCAUGUUUACAUUUCAAUGCAUUUACAAUGAUAUCAUAUAUUAUCCUUUAACAGUUUGUUUAAAAUGUUUCUAUGUGCAGGACACACCUGAUGUUAAUUGGGGUGAUGAGAACACCCAACGCGGCGUCAACAUAGGCCUCCGGGGAGCAUCACAUGAUCAUGGCGUCAACACAGGCCUCCGGGGGAGCAUCACAUGAUCUUGGCGACACGGUUACGUCAUUAGUUACAGAGUUCUUCGGAGGGGACGUUAUUGGCCCAUCUUUUAUCCCCCGGAGUCACAACCAUACGCCUACAAUUAUGCUUCAGGUUCGCAACAAGGAUUCGCGACUCCACCACCUACGCAGGACUCGCAGACACAUGAAGCCGAAUUGGAGUACGACCGCGGUCUUCGUGUGCCCCGGCCACCUAAUCGCUUGUCGCCUUCCGGUCGUAAGGAAAGGCCAGGUGGUCGUCGUUAAGUAGGGUGAUUCAUCUAUGCACGUGCGCGACCCAUUGUAUCUACAUAUGUGUGUAUCAGACUUUUCAAUUUGAACAUCUAUGUAUGCUGAAAUAAAAAUGCACCGGUCAGGAACAAUUUUUCCCGCCUAUAUCUCCCGUCAUACUAUCCCGCUCCACUCUUU